CAGACUGAUACCAAGCACAGGGCCAGGACAGAGCAGGGACACAAUAAAUAUCUACUGACUCUGACUUUAGUGUAGCGAUUCAUAUAGUCAAGGUAUGUGCCAAGUGCGUUGGGAGCAAGGAGGUGGGACUGUCUAGGUCUGCUUGAGGGGAUGGAAGGGUCACAGAGCCAAGGAAGACCUGGGACUUGAAGGGUGGCCGGACCAGCGAGAACUAGCUGGUGCCCUGGAAGGCACGUGGACUUUGGAGUGGAGGCCCGAGGCUUGAACGCUGGCUCUGCCCCUCCCUCUGCCCUGGGACACUUCUGAAUCUCCUCUUCCUCUUCCUCUGCCUUGAUUCACAAGAAGAGAUAUAAUCACCAGCUUGAGAGGCCAUGAGGAUGAGCCGAAUAAGAUUGAUGAACCUGUCAGGCUGCUGGCCUGGGCGCUGAGCCCGCUCCCGCCUGAAUUCUCCCGACAGCUGCCCUGCUUCUCCACUUGGACUUGCCGGGGCUCCCGUUGGAACCAAGAAAAGCCUCUGCUCUGCUCCAGUCACACACAAAAAAAUAGCAAGAAUGAUGCAAUAUGUGUCUCUCAUGGCCACCAGCCACGGAGAAGGUCCAGGCAUCCAGAUCCCUACCCCAAACUCACGCCAGCAUUGCAAAUCAAUGCCCUCUUGUUCCCAUGAAUCCUGGGUAACUCCCACCACUCUACCCGGCAGCAGCUCUGUCACCCCCUUAUCUCGUGACAAAGGCCACCAACCUAGCCACUGAGGCACAAAAUUGGCCGGGUGCAGAGAAAGAGUUUCUAAGUACCUAAUCCCUGUAACCUGACCUUUAAUUCUAAUAACAGUGACAUUUAUUAAAGAUUAUGUGCCUGGCACUGUUCUGA